rnacentral:rRNA from 1 species
AGAGUUUGAUCCUGGCUCAGGGUGAACGCUAGCUACAGGCUUAACACAUGCAAGUCGAGGGGAAACGACAUCGAAAGCUUGCUUUUGAUGGGCGUCGACCGGCGCACGGGUGAGUAACGCGUAUCCAACCUGCCCACCACUUGGGGAUAACCUUGCGAAAGUAAGACUAAUACCCAAUGAUAUCUCUAGAAGACAUCUGAAAGAGAUUAAAGAUUUAUCGGUGAUGGAUGGGGAUGCGUCUGAUUAGCUUGUUGGCGGGGUAACGGCCCACCAAGGCGACGAUCAGUAGGGGUUCUGAGAGGAAGGUCCCCCACAUUGGAACUGGAGACACGGUCCAAACUCCGUACGGGAGGCA